UACGGAGGGUGCGAGCGUUGUCCGGAAUCACUGGGCGUAAAGGGCGCGUAGGCGGCCUGAUAAGUAGGGGGUGAAAUCCUGCGGCUUAACCGCAGGGCUGCCUUCUAAACUGUCAGGCUGGAACACAGUAGAGGCAGGUGGAAUUCCCGGUGUAGCGGUGGAAUGCGUAGAGAUCGGGAAGAACAUCAGUGGCGAAGGCGGCCUGCUGGGCUGUUGCUGACGCUGAGGCGCGACAGCGUGGGGAGCAAACAGG
rnacentral:rRNA from 1 species